GGUUUCCCCAGGUAUGUGCGUGUGUUGGCGUGGGCAGUCUGCUAUCUCAGUGUGUGUUGGCAUCCAGUUUGUGAACCAGAAAAGUCCAUCUAGUGAAGAUGAUUGCGUUUAGUGUGAGUUAAAACUGCUAAUCGCUGGUUGAUCUGGUUGUCCGACCACGUUCUGAGGGAUGAGGGGGUUAAGUCCAUGGGUAUGACUGCGCUGCUGUUUUGCCUCUGAGAAUACUGUCGUGGGUCGUUCUGACUCCAACCCGGCACAACAAGGCUUCACGCCGUGUACCGGUAUUGUAGUCGAUUAGUUUUGUUAUUUUGUUGAUUUAUAUUGUAUAUUUAACUCAAAUUGAGCGGAAUUAUUAUUGUUUUGGUUUUGUAAUAUUCGUUUUUUUUGUAUUUAAUUCUUUUGUUGUGUUUAAUUUACUUUUGAUAUACUUGUGCUGGGCGGGUUGUCUUUGGAGGGGAAGGAAGUGAUUGAUGUACCUAUCCAGGGUGACUUUUACAUUGGGUGCUGUGGUUGAUGUGAACCUUUUCACACUUUCACACGUGAGUGGUGUGGCUUGACACUGUGCUGUAGCUGGGUUGGGUAUUUUCUUCUUCUCCCUGAGGGGCCUAGUCAUUACAAGAAUUUUUUUUUUUUUUUUUGUUUUUGUAUAAGUGACGGAAGAUUUUAUAUUCAUUUUGAAAAUCUUAAUCUUGCACAACUGUCAUAAUAAAGCUUCAUUUUGUUA